rnacentral:lncRNA from 1 species
AGCUCCCCCGUGGACGUCUGCUGUGGUUCUGGCCCAUCCCCGUGCCAGUCGACCGAGGAGCGCGUCUGAGGCGAUUUGCCUGAAGAGGUUGCCUGGUAACCUGUUUCAGACAAACACACCGAAGAAUUAAAUCCAAAAUGUGAAAGAAAAGGACAUUUUAUGUAAAGUCUACCUUUUAAUCACUUCAUGAAGAUCCAGCACGAAGCCCCUGCUGCUGACGCCAUCUUGUUCCAAUGCCGCUUCUGAAUCUUUGCCAACUGAGCCAGAGCUUGUGCAGCAUGCAGAGAGCACAGCCCCUCCCUGGAGAUGGCCCCUCCUCCUCAAAGGAAGCUCUUUGGGGCAAUAUCGAGAUGGAUUAUUGGCUAGACAAUCAUAUUCCUUGGAACUUGUCAACCAGAAACUGAAACGGAAGGCUGGGCCCUUGAUGCUCUAAAACAAAGCUGUCAAAGUGGCCCCAUUCCCCUCCCUCCACAGUGCUUGUGCCAUGGUCAGGAAAUGACCCAAGGAAGGCCCAAGGCCCGGCAGGGGCUCUGCCGGUCUCCACCCUAAAGAGGAAGAAACCACCAGAAGCUUUUAUCUGGUUCAGUUCCGAGUUUGAAAUAUUAUCCCCUGUCUUUGCCAAAAAGAGGCAAUUUGAUUUCAUGAGCAAAUAGCAAAUGGCAUUUUACAUUAAAAAAAACCCCCUAAAAAUCCUGUUUAUUGUUGAUUUCUUACAGUGUCCACAAUCAUCUUAAUUUGAAAUGCUAAAUGUUGUUAAGACAUUUUUACUUUGUUUCUGAGACAUGAAUUAAGUAAAAAUCUUUUGUGAUG